UGGCAUUCCAAGUGUAGAGGUGAAAUUCGUAGAUAUUUGGAGGAACACCAGUGGCGAAGGCGGCUCACUGGCUCGAUACUGACGCUGAGGUGCGAAAGUGUGGGGAGCAAACAGGAUUAGAUACCCUGGUAGUCCACACCGUAAACGAUGAAUGCCAGUCGUCGGGCAGUAUACUGUUCGGUGACACACCUAACGGAUUAAGCAUUCCGCCUGGGGAGUACGGUCGCAAGAUUAAAACUCAAUGCUGCCUCCCGUAGAA
rnacentral:rRNA from 1 species